ensembl:misc_RNA Metazoa_SRP Metazoan signal recognition particle RNA
GCUGGGCAUAGUAGUGUAUGCCUGUAGUCCCAGCUACACGGGAGGCUGGGGCAGGAGGAUCCCUUGAGCCCACGAGUUUUGAGGCUGCAGUGAGCUGUGAUGGCGCUGCUGCAUUCCAACCUGGGCAACAGAGUGAGACCCUGUCUCUA